CCCGUACUGGUGUGCGGCGCGGGCUUCAAACCCGUGAUGCUUCCGCCUGAAAACGGAUGAGUUGUGGGUUCGAUUCCCACUCCA
rnacentral:tRNA from 1 species